UUUUUUCCCCUAUCUUAGCGUCAGCUGCACUUCGAUGUCCAUCCCUCUCUUUUCCCGAUCUCUCUCUCUCCUUCAACAUUGGUUAACUUUUCAUCGUGAUUUCUGUUUAAUUAGGAAGAUGGGAUUUGGAUCAAGUAACGCACAAUUUCAAUCUACAACCAUGGUUUUUGGGUUUGGAUCUUCAGGCGUUUUCAUGGUCGCUUCAUCGGUUAUCGCUAAUCAGCUGCCGCGAUCCAUAUGAGAGGCAUGGCGGCAAUAUCAUCCCGUUAGUCUCUCGUUUUCUGCUCUGUUAUUCCACCACGAUUAGAUGACUCUUCACGGAAGUCUCCCCUGGAAAAUUUCCGCCACUCGCGUUUUUGGUUGGUAGGUUAAUUUGCAGUUUCCCUGGAUUGACGAACACAAAUAUUGACACACCAGCAAAAGAGAAUUGGAAAGAAUUCAGAGUAAUGUAGCCGGAAAUGAAGCCAUUAAUGCAAUUACAAGCUACAGAGUGCUAAAUCUUCACUAUGUUGUUUACUCUAUCCUAUCUAGUGCCAUAGAUAUCUAUAAGAACAGGCAAUCCCUAUAUCUAUAAGAACAGUCAAUCCCUCCCCUUCACUGGAAAGAGAAAAACCAAUCAAAAAAAGCAAAAAAAAAACAAAAGAAUUUGAUCCACUAACAUAGGAUAAUUUUUGGUACAAUUCUAUACAGAUUUGGCACUGGCACUUGGUAGCUCAAGUAUUGUUGUUUGUCAACUAAUUGAUCAUGCACGUUUGGCUGCU